rnacentral:rRNA from 1 species
CCUACGGGUGGCAGCAGUGGGGAAUAUUGGACAAUGGGCGAAAGCCUGAUCCAGCCAUGCCGCGUGUGUGAAGAAGGCCUUCGGGUUGUAAAGCACUUUCAGUGGGGAAGAAAGCCUUGGGGCUAAUACCCUCGAGGAAGGACAUCACCCACAGAAGAAGCACCGGCUAACUCCGUGCACAGCAGCCGCGGUAAUACGGAGGGUGCGAGCGUUAAUCGGAAUUACUGGGCGUAAAGCGCGCGUAGGCGGUCUGAUAAGCCGGUUGUGAAAGCCCCGGGCUCAACCUGGGAACGGCAUCCGGAACUGUCAGGCUAGAGUGCAGGAGAGGAAGGUAGAAUUCCCGGUGUAGCGGUGAAAUGCGUAGAGAUCGGGAGGAAUACCAGUGGCGAAGGCGGCCUUCUGGACUGACACUGACGCUGAGGUGCGAAAGCGUGGGUAGCAAACAGGAUUAGAUACCCUAGUAGUC